UUUAUGGAGAGUUUGAUCCUGGCUCAGGAUGAACGCUGGCGGCGUGCCUAAUACAUGCAAGUCGAGCGAACGGACGAGAAGCUUGCUUCUCUGAUGUUAGCGGCGGACGGGUGAGUAACACGUGGAUAACCUACCUAUAAGACUGGGAUAACUUCGGGAAACCGGAGCUAAUACCGGAUAAUAUUUUGAACCGCAUGGUUCAAAAGUGAAAGACGGUCUUGCUGUCACUUAUAGAUGGAUCCGCGCUGCAUUAGCUAGUUGGUAAGGUAACGGCUUACCAAGGCAACGAUGCAUAGCCGACCUGAGAGGGUGAUCGGCCACACUGGAACUGAGACACGGUCCAGACUCCUACGGGAGGCAGCAGUAGGGAAUCUUCCGCAAUGGGCGAAAGCCUGACGGAGCAACGCCGCGUGAGUGAUGAAGGUCUUCGGAUCGUAAAACUCUGUUAUUAGGGAAGAACAUAUGUGUAAGUAACUGUGCACAUCUUGACGGUACCUAAUCAGAAAGCCACGGCUAACUACGUGCCAGCAGCCGCGGUAAUACGUAGGUGGCAAGCGUUAUCCGGAAUUAUUGGGCGUAAAGCGCGCGUAGGCGGUUUUUUAAGUCUGAUGUGAAAGCCCACGGCUCAACCGUGGAGGGUCAUUGGAAACUGGAAAACUUGAGUGCAGAAGAGGAAAGUGGAAUUCCAUGUGUAGCGGUGAAAUGCGCAGAGAUAUGGAGGAACACCAGUGGCGAAGGCGACUUUCUGGUCUGUAACUGACGCUGAUGUGCGAAAGCGUGGGGAUCAAACAGGAUUAGAUACCCUGGUAGUCCACGCCGUAAACGAUGAGUGCUAAGUGUUAGGGGGUUUCCGCCCCUUAGUGCUGCAGCUAACGCAUUAAGCACUCCGCCUGGGGAGUACGACCGCAAGGUUGAAACUCAAAGGAAUUGACGGGGACCCGCACAAGCGGUGGAGCAUGUGGUUUAAUUCGAAGCAACGCGAAGAACCUUACCAAAUCUUGACAUCCUUUGACAACUCUAGAGAUAGAGCCUUCCCCUUCGGGGGACAAAGUGACAGGUGGUGCAUGGUUGUCGUCAGCUCGUGUCGUGAGAUGUUGGGUUAAGUCCCGCAACGAGCGCAACCCUUAAGCUUAGUUGCCAUCAUUAAGUUGGGCACUCUAAGUUGACUGCCGGUGACAAACCGGAGGAAGGUGGGGAUGACGUCAAAUCAUCAUGCCCCUUAUGAUUUGGGCUACACACGUGCUACAAUGGACAAUACAAAGGGCAGCGAAACCGCGAGGUCAAGCAAAUCCCAUAAAGUUGUUCUCAGUUCGGAUUGUAGUCUGCAACUCGACUACAUGAAGCUGGAAUCGCUAGUAAUCGUAGAUCAGCAUGCUACGGUGAAUACGUUCCCGGGUCUUGUACACACCGCCCGUCACACCACGAGAGUUUGUAACACCCGAAGCCGGUGGAGUAACCUUUUAGGAGCUAGCCGUCGAAGGUGGGACAAAUGAUUGGGGUGAAGUCGUAACAAGGUAGCCGUAUCGGAAGGU
rnacentral:rRNA from 1 species